rnacentral:rRNA from 1 species
CAGUCGAGCGGUAGCACAGAGAGCUUGCUCUCGGGUGACGAGCGGCGGACGGGUGAGUAAUGUCUGGGAAACUGCCUGAUGGAGGGGGAUAACUACUGGAAACGGUAGCUAAUACCGCAUAACGUCGCAAGACCAAAGUGGGGGACCUUCGGGCCUCAUGCCAUCAGAUGUGCCCAGAUGGGAUUAGCUAGUAGGUGGGGUAACGGCUCACCUAGGCGACGAUCCCUAGCUGGUCUGAGAGGAUGACCAGCCACACUGGAACUGAGACACGGUCCAGACUCCUACGGGAGGCAGCAGUGGGGAAUAUUGCACAAUGGGCGCAAGCCUGAUGCAGCCAUGCCGCGUGUGUGAAGAAGGCCUUCGGGUUGUAAAGCACUUUCAGCGGGGAGGAAGGCGUUGAGGUUAAUAACCUUGUCGAUUGACGUUACCCGCAGAAGAAGCACCGGCUAACUCCGUGCCAGCAGCCGCGGUAAUACGGAGGGUGCAAGCGUUAAUCGGAAUUACUGGGCGUAAAGCGCACGCAGGCGGUCUGUCAAGUCGGAUGUGAAAUCCCCGGGCUCAACCUGGGAACUGCAUUCGAAACUGGCAGGCUAGAGUCUUGUAGAGGGGGGUAGAAUUCCAGGUGUAGCGGUGAAAUGCGUAGAGAUCUGGAGGAAUACCGGUGGCGAAGGCGGCCCCCUGGACAAAGACUGACGCUCAGGUGCGAAAGCGUGGGGAGCAAACAGGAUUAGAUACCCUGGUAGUCCACGCCGUAAACGAUGUCGAUUUGGAGGUUGUGCCCUUGAGGCGUGGCUUCCGGAGCUAACGCGUUAAAUCGACCGCCUGGGGAGUACGGCCGCAAGGUUAAAACUCAAAUGAAUUGACGGGGGCCCGCACAAGCGGUGGAGCAUGUGGUUUAAUUCGAUGCAACGCGAAGAACCUUACCUGGUCUUGACAUCCACAGAACUUUCCAGAGAUGGAUUGGUGCCUUCGGGAACUGUGAGACAGGUGCUGCAUGGCUGUCGUCAGCUCGUGUUGUGAAAUGUUGGGUUAAGUCCCGCAACGAGCGCAACCCUUAUCCUUUGUUGCCAGCGGUCCGGCCGGGAACUCAAAGGAGACUGCCAGUGAUAAACUGGAGGAAGGUGGGGAUGACGUCAAGUCAUCAUGGCCCUUACGACCAGGGCUACACACGUGCUACAAUGGCAUAUACAAAGAGAAGCGACCUCGCGAGAGCAAGCGGACCUCAUAAAGUAUGUCGUAGUCCGGAUUGGAGUCUGCAACUCGACUCCAUGAAGUCGGAAUCGCUAGUAAUCGUAGAUCAGAAUGCUACGGUGAAUACGUUCCCGGGCCUUGUACACACCGCCCGUCACACCAUGGGAGUGGGUUGCAAAAGAAGUAGGUAGCUAACCUCGGAGGCGC